rnacentral:rRNA from 1 species
CCUACGGGAGGCAGCAGUGAGGAAUAUUGGUCAAUGGGCGCGAGCCUGAACCAGCCAAGUAGCGUGAAGGAUGACUGCCCUACGGGUUGUAAACUUCUUUUAUAAAGGAAUAAAGUGAGGCACGUGUGCCUUUUUGUAUGUACUUUAUGAAUAAGGAUCGGCCAACUGCGUGCCAGCAGCCGCGGUAAUACGGAGGAUCCGAGCGUUAUCCGGAUUUAUUGGGUUUAAAGGGAGCGUAGAUGGGUUGGUAAGUCAGUUGUGAAAGUUUGCGGCUCAACCGUAAAAUUGCAAUUGAUACUGGCAGCCUUGAGUACAGUAGAGGUAGGCGGAAUUCGUGGUGUAGCGGUGGAAUGCGUAGAUAUCACGAAGAACUCCGAUUGCGAAGGCAGCCUACUAGACUGCCACUGACAUUGAGGCUCGAAAGUGUGGGUAUCAAACAGGAUUAGAUACCCUGGUAGUC